rnacentral:lncRNA from 1 species
GAUUUAAUAAUUGAAGAAGCAGUGGCACAAAAGUCACGAUUGUCUCUCCUUAUCAUUUUGGUUUGAAAAACAAAGCACAAGAAUUGGUCCACCAUUCGUGCACGGAAUCCAUAUUCCAUUCAACUACUGGUAGCGGUUGGUGCUGUCGGACAGUAGGACUGGAUAAAGCAUGACAAAGCACAUCAUAAUUAGUUUUGACAAUAAAAGCUAUCCACUCCCCCAUUAAAAUAGUCGUUUUUCCCUUGGAAAGUUCUAAGGCCUUAACGUGUUUGAUUUUUUUUUUUUUUUUUUUUGUUAUAAAAAAGAACGUAAAAUCAUUUACUUUAUUUCGUGGCUCAUAUUUAGUCUGUAAAAAUCUUCUCUUACAAUUUACUAUCAAAAUUAUCAGAAAGGAAAAAAAGGAAAAAAAAAAAAAGAAGAAGAAAAGAAUAGAAAAAAAAGGGGUGGGCUGCUGGCUUCUGCAGAAAGCUCACCGGUGAUUCCAGGUAGAUAUAGCUGCUGGGAUCGCCAUCCAAAGGUACAAUCCUUGAGAUAUUAAAUUUAGAAGAGGAAUCAGUACAGUUGACAGUUGCAAGCAACUAUAUAUAUAUAUAUAUAUGUACAUCGGAAAAGUCCUUAAUUAAUCAUUAAUUAACAUAAAGGUAAGCUCGGAGCUCAGGAGCUUUUGCUGGGGCAGCCAUGGUGGGUGGGGGAAUGAGGCAAGACUGCAGCUUUUAUGUAAUCGUACAUCAUCUUCUUCACUAACCUUCUUUUGGGUGGAUUCAGCUCCACCUCCAUAGUCUUGCCUCCAUUCUUGUUGGGUUCGACACUUGCUUCUGAUAUGGAGCUUGCUCCAGACAUGCUUCGGACCACUUCUCCACUAGCCCUCUUCUCCAUUCCACUCUCUCUGACUCAGCCUAUGAGUUGCAGCUUCCUUUUUUUUAUUUUUUAUUUGGAGUCAUAAAAUAAGACCGAGGAUGGGCCUUAAAACAGAGGGGAGAGCCAAUCAGAU